rnacentral:rRNA from 1 species
UACGAAGGGGGCUAGCGUUGCUCGGAAUUACUGGGCGUAAAGGGAGCGUAGGCGGAUGUUUAAGUCGGGGGUGAAAUCCCGAGGCUCAACCUCGGAACUGCCUUCGAUACUGGAAGUCUUGAGUCCGGGAGAGGUGAGUGGAACUGCGAGUGUAGAGGUGAAAUUCGUAGAUAUUCGCAAGAACACCAGUGGCGAAGGCGGCUCACUGGCCCGGUACUGACGCUGAGAUACGAAAGCGUGGGGAGCAAACAGG